UCAUGGCAAAAUAAUUGAUAACGCCUGAAUAUUGUUAACAAUACAAAAAUAAGACCAUAUUGUUUAAAGAGAUUAUAGUAUUAUUAUAAGAAAAAAUCUAAAAUUCCCAAACGUAACAAAAAUGUUGAUGUCAAACUUUUUAUACACGAGAAAAAAAUCUAAUACUAAGAGGUGAAAUUAAAGACAACAAAAGUUGAAAAUGUUUGUGUGGAGAUGCUGAGAUGGAUCUGACAUAGCUUCCACUUCAAACCAGAGAGGAGCAUGGACUGAAGAGGAGUGGAGAGGAGCCAUGACGAUGGAAGAUCAGAGAGAAAAUUGAACUGUGGAUGAGCAGAGAGGAGACUGGACUGUGACCGCUAAAGAGACAACCGGAGAUGAGCCUUGGCUACCACUGGAGAGGAGGAGACCACCAAGGAGAUGACCGGACAGAAGACCACGCCUUACACAACGGGAGCAUAAGGAGGUGAUGGAGAUCGCAGAGGAGAUAGAAUAGAUGAAGAGAUUAACAGAUCUGGAGAAGAAAUAAGAGAUAGAGAAACAAAAGAGAUGAAAAAUAAGAGAUCGAUAGAUCUGAAGAAAUAGGAGAGAAAGGAAAAAAAGAAGAAAAAAUAUAUUAAAAAGCAAAGCAUUUUAUCCAUUAGAUCAAACUUUAUCAAUGGUUGAGAUUUAACCCUAGGUUAUCCUCGUCUUCUUACAUUAGCC
rnacentral:lncRNA from 1 species